ensembl:snRNA U2 U2 spliceosomal RNA
AUCUCUUGUCGGCCUUUUGGCUAAGAUCAAGUGUAGUAUCUGUUCUUAUCAGUUUAAUAUCUGUUAGGUCCUCUAUCCAAGGACAAUAUAGUAAAUGGAUUUUUGAAGCAGAGAGAUGGAAUAGGAGCUUGCUCCGUCCGCUCCAUGCUUCCACCUGGUAUUGCAGUACUUCCAGAAAUGGUGUACCUCCU